rnacentral:rRNA from 1 species
CGCGUAGGCGGCUAUGCAAGUCAGAUGUGAAAGCCCGCGGCUCAACCGUGGAAGAGCAUUUGAAACUGGAUGGCUUGAGUACUGGAGGGGGUAGUGGAAUUCCCGGUGUAGAGGUGAAAUUCGUAGAUAUCGGGAGGAAUACCGGUGGCGAAGGCGACUACCUGGCCAGAUACUGACGCUGAGGUGCGAAAGCGUGGGGAGCAAACA